CGCAGAAGAAUUCUCUUUAUGUUACCUUUAUUUAGCAACAAAUCAACUUGACUCAACUGAUACUUACUGAGUGCCUUUAAAGGCCAUAGACUCUCCAACUCCUGCAACUGUCUGGAAUUUCUUCUCUCUCCAAUCCAUCUCUAGUAUUGAUGACAUAGAUACUGAGUUUACUACAAAUGGAAGGUUUGAGGCAACCUUGAUGGAGCAAGUGUAUGGGUGCCAUGUUUUUCCAACAUCAUGUGCUCACUUUGUGUCUCUGACAUAUUUUGUCUGGAACGGAACUAGCAAUAUCUCCAUGGAAUACCUGUAAUGAGCAGAUUUAACCUAAGAUGAGAAAAUAUUUCCACUGAAGUUUGAAAUUUAAGUACGUGUUAGCCAGGUAAAGUAGGGGGAAAAGUAUUUCAAGCAGAGGUUAAAGUCCCUGUGUUAAGGCUGUGAGGCCCAAGGGAAGGAGCUUUCCCUUUAAAAAGGACUGAAAGAAAGCAAAUGUGGUUUAAGCAUGGUUAGGGAGGAAAGAGGCCUGAAGGGGAGGGAAUCCUGGAGUGGGAUACAGAGGUAGGCAGGCAGAGUACAGAACAUUAGGGAUUUAUGGACUCAAGAUUUAUAUUCUCUGACACCAAAUUAGGAAAAAAAGAGGUCUCUAUUUUUGGCCAAGUUGUGUGUGUGUGUGUGUGUGUGUGUGUGUGUGUGU
rnacentral:lncRNA from 1 species